rnacentral:rRNA from 1 species
UGAACGCUGGCGGCGUGCCUAAUACAUGCAAAUCGAGCGAACAGACGCGGAGCUUGCUCCUCUGACGUUAGCGGCGGACGGGUGAGUAACACGUGGAUAACCUACCUAUAAGACUGGGAUAACUUCGGGAAACCGGAGCUAAUACCGGAUAAUAUAUUGAACCGCAUGGUUCAAUAGUGAAAGACGGUUUUGCUGUCACUUAUAGAUGGAUCCGCGCCGCAUUAGCUAGUUGGUAAGGUAACGGCUUACCAAGGCAACGAUGCGUAGCCGACCUGAGAGGGUGAUCGGCCACACUGGAACUGAGACACGGUCCAGACUCCUACGGGAGGCAGCAGUAGGGAAUCUUCCGCAAUGGGCGAAAGCCUGACGGAGCAACGCCGCGUGAGUGAUGAAGGUCUUCGGAUCGUAAAACUCUGUUAUUAGGGAAGAACAAAUGUGUAAGUAACUAUGCACGUCUUGACGGUACCUAAUCAGAAAGCCACGGCUAACUACGUG